CAAUUAUAUAUGAUUUUCAUCAAAGCAUUUAAUGGAAACAUGAACAUACUUAGUGUUCAAUCAUUAGCAUUCUGCUCAAUUGUACUGCAGUGA